AUCUUCCCCAUCAUAAUUCCAAAAUCAUAGUACACACGAGCUGCUGAAACAGGAUAUGAUUCAUUUAGAUGGCUGCAGCAGUACAAUGCAGAACUGUAUAACAAUACAGAAGAAACGUAUUAGAUGUACUACUGAAGCAUUCAUUUCUGACUGAAGUCAGGACCAGGUACCUAGCAACCAACGUUUGAGAGAAAAACAAUCUAGAUGAGUCAAUCCUGCUACAUCAACAAAUACAGGAAGGAGAAGAAAUUGAUUUUAGAUCCAGGCAGAGAAGGGAAGGUAAAGGGAAGGGAGAG